rnacentral:lncRNA from 1 species
CUGUAAUUCUGACCUUUUUAUCCCAAGGAGAUAUUGCUUUGUCUCUAUCUAUAAAUAUAUCAUGAAAAAUUAGGAAUGGGUUAAAGUUAUCCAUAAAUGAAACUGGCAAUGGUAAUGUUGUAAGAUGAUAUGGUCCAUUUUACAUAACUAUCUCAAGAAACUGUGUAAGCAAGUAAAAAAUGUUUCAGCUGAAACAGCAUCUGGCUCUUUCUAGAAAAACUGAUGUUUAAAAUGUUUUUUUGUUUCAGGUCAUUUUGAUUAACAUUUACUCCACGUUAUCAUUCUUGAAUAAUUUCAUACCUGGAACCAUUGUGCUGAUCAAGUUGCCUUCUUACAGCUUCUAAUUUUUAAAAAUGGAUUAAGAAACAUGGAUUACUGUAGGCAAUGAAGUAAAGCUUGUAUUAGUAUUGGGGUAAUGGACUUCAACUCUUUGUGGACUUUGAGGAAAAUCUCUACUAACAGCAGAACGAUGACAUGCUGGCUGUGAGACAACACAGAGCUAUUGCAUAAAAACAAUCCAGUGUUCACAGCACAAGUCCAGGACCUGGAAAAACCCCGGUACAUUCCUAGUUGUAUCAUAACCUUUCUUUAUGAAUCUUCACAAAUUCCUGAUGGUAUUUGUAUGCUGAAGAAAAAAACAUAUAGAAUAGCAAGUUCAGCUGAAAUGAGCUAGUCCAGAUUUGGAAAGUGAACUUCCCUUGCUAACAAAGAAUUCAGCAAGAAUUGGGUAUUGUUAAGCAUGAAUAAAGGCAAUCUUAUGCUUAUGUUGAUACA